CUGCGGAGGGAUCAUUACAAGUGACCCCGGCUACGGCCGGGAUGUUCAUAACCCUUUGUUGUCCGACUCUGUUGCCUCCGGGGCGACCCUGCCUUCGGGCGGGGGCUCCGGGUGGACACUUCAAACUCUUGCGUAACUUUGCAGUCUGAGUAAACUUAAUUAAUAAAUUAAAACUUUUAACAACGGAUCUCUUGGUUCUGGCAUCGAUGAAGAACGCAGCGAAAUGCGAUAAGUAAUGUGAAUUGCAGAAUUCAGUGAAUCAUCGAAUCUUUGAACGCACAUUGCGCCCCCUGGUAUUCCGGGGGGCAUGCCUGUUCGAGCGUCAUUUCACCACUCAAGCCUCGCUUGGUAUUGGGCAACGCGGUCCGCCGCGUGCCUCAAAUCGUCCGGCUGGGUCUUCUGUCCCCUAAGCGUUGUGGAAACUAUUCGCUAAAGGGUGUUCGGGAGGCUACGCCGUAAAACAACCCCAUUUCUAAGGUUGACCUCGGAUCAGGUAGG
rnacentral:rRNA from 1 species